GAUGAACGCUGGCGGCGUGCCUAAUACAUGCAAGUCGAGCGAACAGACGAGGAGCUUGCUCCCUGACGUUAGCGGCGGACGGGUGAGUAACACGUGGAUAACCUACCUAUAAGACUGGGAUAACUUCGGGAAACCGGAGCUAAUACCGGAUAAUAUAUUGAACCGCAUGGUUCAAUAGUGAAAGACGGUUUUGCUGUCACUUAUAGAUGGAUCCGCGCCGCAUUAGCUAGUUGGUAAGGUAACGGCUUACCAAGGCGACGAUGCGUAGCCGACCUGAGAGGGUGAUCGGCCACACUGGAACUGAGACACGGUCCAGACUCCUACGGGAGGCAGCAGUAGGGAAUCUUCCGCAAUGGGCGAAAGCUUGACGGAGCAACGCCGCGUGAGUGAUGAAGGUCUUCGGAUCGUAAAACUCUGUUAUUAGGGAAGAACAAAUGUGUAAGUAACUAUGCACGUCUUGACGGUACCUAAUCAGAAAGCCACGGCUAACUACGUG
rnacentral:rRNA from 1 species